GAUGAACGCUAGCUACAGGCUUAACACAUGCAAGUCGCGGGGCAGCAUGGGGGUUGCUUGCAAUCCCCGAUGGCGACCGGCGCACGGGUGAGUAACGCGUAUCCAACCUGCCCUUCACCACGGGAUAACCCGGCGAAAGUCGGACUAAUACCGUAUGUUGUCCAUUGACGGCAUCCGAUUUGGACGAAAGGUUUGGCGGUGAAGGAUGGGGAUGCGUCCGAUUAGCUGGACGGCGGGGUGACGGCCCACCGUGGCGACGAUCGGUAGGGGUUCUGAGAGGAAGGUCCCCCACACGGGAACUGAGACACGGACCAGACUCCUACGGGAGGCAGCAGUGAGGAAUAUUGGUCAAUGGGCGUAAGCCUGAACCAGCCAAGUAGCGUGCAGGAUGACGGCGCUAUGGGUUGUAAACUGCUUUUAUGCGGGGAUAAAGUGGCCCACGUGUGGGUUUUUGCAGGUACCGCAUGAAUAAGGACCGGCUAAUUCCGUG
rnacentral:rRNA from 1 species